UCAUUUUUUCCUUCUUCCACGUCAUCCCUUUCGUACCAAAUCUCAUCAUUUCAAUCCGAUUCAUGUGGAUUCCUUCUUUUAUUUCUUUUGUUUAAAUAAAAAUCCGAUUCCUUGAAAUAAAUGUUGGAAAAUGGGAGCCGUUGGAUUAAAUUUUGCCAAGACUUCAAUUUUCUGAUUUUUGUUAAAAAUGGGAUUUUCGGAUCUUGUUGGGGUUCCACACGAUUUUGGGAGAUUUCUUGUUGAAGAAGGAGAAAAGCUUGGAGAGAGAGCUAUAUAUUUGGAGUUUUCGGACAGUCUUGGGGGGAAGUUUGGAGAAAAAUUUUGGAAAAGGGUGAAAAAUCAGAAAUUGGAGAAAAAGGUUCUAGGGUUCUUUUCAGUUUUGGGAGAUUCUUUUGUUUGGUUUUGCAUUCCAAAAAAAAAACCAACAAGUUUGAGUUUGAUUUUUGUUCAAGUGUUGUUCCAUUUUCGAAAAUCAGAAAAUACCAAAAAAAAUAUUUUAGUUUCUUCUUUUGGUCAUGACGUUCAGAAAUGGAUUUUAAUUGAAAUUAGGAUUCGAGUUCGUGUUCGAUUUGCGAUUUGCGGUGUCGAGUUGAGGUUCCAGUUGCUGCUCACGGCUUUAAUUGUAGUUGCUGCUCUUUUUUUUGUGUUGCCAUUUCACGACGGGAUUCUUGGAGUUAAAGCUUCUGUACUUAUUGCUUCUUUAUUGUUGUUGAGAAAAACCUCGGCUUAACAGUGAUGCGCUUCCUUUGCAAAUUUAAUUAGUGUCUUGUAUGCUGGUUUGAAAUCGAGAUCGAGGAAGAAUGAAUACGUGGAUUAGUCUUGUUGAAGUCUGCUUGGAUAGUUGAACCGAUGCAUUUAGUUUCAUCUUCAAGCUGGUGUCCAUGUUUUAAAGAUCAUGUAUCAAAAACCAUAGUGAAUGAUCAAAUCUUCCAUGAAAAGUGAAUUGUUUAUCCUAGUGUGGAAUGUGAAAUGGAUUUCUGUUAGUUUUAGACAGCCCUCUGUUUGGCCAUAGUCACAUCGACUUCAAUGCUAUUUUCUUGGUAACUGUUAAGCCCUCAUUCAAUUUUACUCACUUGAGCAAUUGUUAAUUCUAAACUGUCAUUCGAGUUGCCCGCUUGUUUCUGAUGAUUGGGAAGAUCCCUGUUAGUUUCGUAGCCAUGUUUCACGCACCGCGUUACUUGUAGGUUUGGAGUUGUCUACAUUUACAUGUUCAACUGGUCUGUCGCAUCUCAAUGUGAAUCUGCUCAAUUUUGUGAUAAUUUUAUUCUGUUCUCAUGUUAUUCUGAUAUGUGUCUUUGUUUGUCUUGAGUUGCCUAUUUAAAGUCCGACUUCCAUGAAAUAUGAAUAGUGCCACUGCUAAUUCCCUCAUGUUUCUUCAGCUUUAAGCAUAUGAGUGAUGUUCCCUGAACAGAUGAUUUACUUGCCUCUCUUGAACUUAAGACACAAAGGGUCUGUGCUUUUGAAGUCAAAUGAAAAAUGAUAGAAUUCCAUAAGUUUUGACUAAGCAUAUUAAUUCAUAGUUUCAUUCUAGAUUACAUGGGUUUUAACUUAAUAGUUUCAUAUUCACUUUCUUUCAUGUUGAGACCAUAUGUUAAAUCUGUCUGAGUUCCAUGGGAUGGGUGAGGUAGUUAAAUUUUAAGAGACUCUUACUAUACUUUGAUCCAUCACUUUUCUUUGUUCUGCUCAUAUCCUUGUGUGCUAUUAAUGCUUUGUUUGAAUUGUCCUGAAUAAUAUUGAGCCGUGGGAGUAGGGAAUGACCGAUCUCAUUAGCUAUUUAAAUUUGCUUCCAUAUUUUAAGAUUGGGCUUGGUCACACGCAUGAAAUAAGAAGUUAAAAGGAAAAUGAGCAUGAUUUAGAAUUUACUUUUACUUAGUUUCUUUAUUUAUUUUUAUUAUAUUGUCCACUAGGAGCAUGUUUAGGCCUAUAACAUUUGAGUAGGCAAGCCUUAGGAUUUUUAUUAAUUUUGAGGCAAGAGGUCGUUCCCUUAGUUAAAUUUAUUCGGGGAAUGCCCCGAAGGACUUGUAUAUAUUUUAUUCCGGGGUAUGCCCCGAAGUAUUCUGUAAAUGGAGGCCAAAAGUAGAAACUUGUAGUAUUUUUACUUUAUUUUCAUUUUUCUUUUUUUAUUUAGGUGGGGACGACCUCGAGCCUCUUGUGUGUUUAUUUUCCCUUUUCUGUGCUUUCUACCUCAAUUGAAUAUUUUAAAAGCUAACUAGAUCGGGUAUGCAACCGUGACCUUCACGGGACUUGGGGAGUGCCUAACACCUUCUCCCUGAGUCAAACGAACCCCCUUACCCAAAUCUCUGGUGCGGACUUGGUUUUAGAGUCUAAAACAUUUUAAAAGAAAAAAAUCAUUUUAAAAACGAUAACCUGGCACACCGAAACAAAUGUUAGGUGGCGACUCUGAGUUAAUUUUUUUCAACACAAAUUUUUGUCGCGUUCUAAUUGAAAACUCCUUUUCAAGCUUCAAAAAUAACUUUUUUAUUAAUUUAAGGGGUUUAGUGAAGUUUGGUGAAAAAAGGGGUGUGCCACCUGUUCUGUGCUUUUUAUGAUGCCAAAAGGGGGAAGAUUUAAUUGAAUAAUAAAGAGUAUGAAUGAGAGCAUGAAUGAAUAACAAUCUGAAAACAAAAUACAGAUUCAGGGGGAACUCAUUCAGGGGAACUCACAAAGGUUCAGGUACUGACUAAGGGGGAAUGCAGAGCUUCAAGGGGAACUUAAGGUCUUUCUGGUUCACAAUCUGGUCCUCUGUGGAACUUUCUGGGAUUUUCAAUUAUAAGUUUGUCAUUCAAAAAGGGGAAAAUUGAUAGGUUACAAGUACUUUGGUUAUAAGUACUUUACUUUAUGUUUUGAUGAUCUAACACACUUACUAUCCAGAAAUAGAUAAAGAACCUGUUAUACAUUUACAAGACCUCAAGAUCACAAGGUUUCAGGUUGGGAUUUAGCGUGCGUUAUGUUUCAACUCUUUAGAGUGGAAAAAACAGCUGAGGGACCAGGUCCCUACCAGUCCCCGAGGAGACUGUACGAAGUCAACUUUCCAGUUGGAAAGUUGCUGCCUGCACACGCUACAGUGCAGGAACAGUGUUGUAGUCAACUUUCCAGGGAAGACUUUUUACCUACCUUGCUUACAUUGUUGUAAGUGAUGUCACACAUGUAUAUAUGCAUUCAAGGGAGGUAAAACAACACACUUGAACACUUUGAGAUUUUUACUCAAGCUCACUCACGUGGCCAUUCAGCAAGAAGGUUUCAAGUGCUUCAAGAAUAAAGAACAAAGCAACUAUGGACCAGUUCCCAUAUUGAUUUAUUGUAUGUUCUUAGUUGAGUUGUGACUUUAUAAUAGUUCUUCAAAUUGUAAUUC